CGCUCCAAUAAUAAUAUUCGUAUACGUGUUCACUGAGUAUGAACGUUGUGCGCUCUACGGUGUACACUUAGCUUAGUUCAGAGCAGCUAUGACCGUAACGCCAUUUUAGUCUUUUACCGUCAAAAAAAAAUAAAAAAAUACCCGAAAACAUUUAAGGUUAAACGAUGACCACAGAAACGAAAGUGCAAACCAACAGCAUGCAGGCUUUACUGUAUCCGAAAAAUGAAAAGCACAUAUGCAAACCACGGCAGGGAGACCAGAAGGCAGAGGAAGAGGUGUGCGGAUUCGUUGGACAGAGAAUGGCCGUGUCGGACGCGCAAUAUCGGCGGCGCAACGAAGUGCUCCAUCCGGAUUGAAGGACGGGGUGCUGAUUUGUCCGUCAAUGUCUCGGCGACUGGCAUAGGCAUAGUCUUCGGACCGGUGCUUCGCCGCCUUCAGCGGUAUCUGGGAAGGUUUUUUCAGAGAUUCUUUGGCUUAGGAACCAUGAACAGACUGUUGGCAGGAGACACCUCUGGAGCGCAAUAAACACGACAAUCGAGCUGCAGGCUUCCAAGAGGAGGACGGAACAUAUGAUGUCGACGCGCAUUGGCUGUAUCGCCUGAACUUUCACAAAAGCUCUUCUCAUAAGAUUUUCAGCCAUUUUAUUUGUUAACCUCGCCGUUUUGUGUGUAUGUUUUGUGAUAACCGAAUUAUCAGCAUGAAUCUGUCAAAAAUGUUCAGUCUGAAAACAUUAAAACAAAUUAAACGCAGUGAAAAUUUCUGAGUUUUAUUUUAAUUAGACAUAUUUAAAAGUAUUUUUAUGAUCUGACUUUUUUCAGUAGGCUACAUUAAAAGUGAGAAUUUCAACUGUAAAGUUGCAGUGUAAGCUGCAGGCGAGUUAACCGCUCUAACAUUAUACG